AUGCAGCCCCGGCGGAGCUCCAACGACCCCGGCGGCGCUCCAUUGCAGCCCCGGCCGCGCUUCAUUGCAGCGCCGGCGAUGACAGCGGAUGCUGCGAUGCAGCACGCGGCGGCCAUGGCGGAAGUUGCGAUGCAGCGCACGACGACGACGGCGCAGGCUGCUUCGCCGGAGCUGCAGUGGAGCAGCGGUGCAGCGACGCGAGGCGACGGCGGUUUGCAGCAGCGGCGAAGAGCAUGGCGUGUAGGAGCAGGCAUAGCAGAAACGCGAGUGGUGGCGGGCCGGCACUGGUGCCGAUGGCGCUGCCAUGGCUGUGUUGUGCCGCAGGAAGAAGAAAAACGAGGAGAAGAAACCAGCAGCUCAACGCGUGCAGGAAAGAGAUAA
rnacentral:rRNA from 1 species